GAUGAACGCUAGCGGCAGGCCUAAUACAUGCAAGUCGAACGGUGUCUUCGGACAUAGUGGCGCACGGGUGCGUAACACGUAUGCAACCUACCUUACAUUGGGGGAUAGCCCUUCGAAAGGGAGAUUAAUACCGCAUAAGACAGUAGCUGGGCAUCCAGCAGCUGUUAAAGAUUUAUCGAUGUAAGCUGGGCAUGCGUCCAAUUAGCUAGUUGGUGAGGUAACGGCUCACCAAGGCAAUGAUUGGUAGGGGAACUGAGAGGUCAAUCCCCCACACUGGCACUGAGAUACGGGCCAGACUCCUACGGGAGGCAGCAGUAGGGAAUAUUGGGCAAUGGACGCAAGUCUGACCCAGCCAUGCCGCGUGCAGGAUGAAGGCGUUAUGCGUUGUAAACUGCUUUUAUACAGGAAGAAACGACUCUUGCGAGAGGCAUUGACGGUACUGUAUGAAUAAGCACCGGCUAACUACGUGCCAGCCGCCGCUGUAAUAC
rnacentral:rRNA from 1 species